UACGUAGGGGGCAAGCGUUGUCCGGAAUGAUUGGGCGUAAAGGGCGCGUAGGCGGCCCGUUAAGUCUGGAGUGAAAGUCCUGCUUUUAAGGUGGGAAUUGCUUUGGAUACUGAUGGGCUUGAGUGCAGGAGAGGUUAUCGGAAUUCCCGGUGUAGCGGUGAAAUGCGUAGAGAUCGGGAGGAACACCAGUGGCGAAGGCGGGUAACUGGACUGCAACUGACGCUGAGGCGCGAAAGUGUGGGGAGCAAACAGG
rnacentral:rRNA from 1 species